GAUGAACGCUGGCGGCGUGCCUAAUACAUGCAAGUCGAGCGAACGGACGAGAAGCUUGCUUCUCUGAUGUUAGCGGCGGACGGGUGAGUAACACGUGGAUAACCUACCUAUAAGACUGGGAUAACUUCGGGAAACCGGAGCUAAUACCGGAUAAUAUUUUGAACCGCAUGGUUCAAAAGUGAAAGACGGUCUUGCUGUCACUUAUAGAUGGAUCCGCGCUGCAUUAGCUAGUUGGUAAGGUAACGGCUUACCAAGGCAACGAUGCAUAGCCGACCUGAGAGGGUGAUCGGCCACACUGGAACUGAGACACGGUCCAGACUCCUACGGGAGGCAGCAGUAGGGAAUCUUCCGCAAUGGGCGAAAGCCUGACGGAGCAACGCCGCGUGAGUGAUGAAGGUCUUCGGAUCGUAAAACUCUGUUAUUAGGGAAGAACAUAUGUGUAAGUAACUGUGCACAUCUUGACGGUACCUAAUCAGAAAGCCACGGCUAACUACGUGCCAGCAGCCGCGGUAAUACGUAGGUAGCAAGCGUUAUCCGGAAUUAUUGGGCGUAAAGCGCGCGUAGGCGGUUUUUUAAGUCUGAUGUGAAAGCCCACGGCUCAACCGUGGAGGGUCAUUGGAAACUGGAAAACUUGAGUGCAGAAGAGGAAAGUGGAAUUCCAUGUGUAGCGGUGAAAUGCGCAGAGAUAUGGAGGAACACCAGUGGCGAAGGCGACUUUCUGGUCUGUAACUGACGCUGAUGUGCGAAAGCGUGGGGAUCAAACAGGAUUAGAUACCCUGGUAGUCCACGCCGUAAACGAUGAGUGCUAAGUGUUAGGGGGUUUCCGCCCCUUAGUGCUGCAGCUAACGCAUUAAGCACUCCGCCUGGGGAGUACGACCGCAAGGUUGAAACUCAAAGGAAUUGACGGGGACCCGCACAAGCGGUGGAGCAUGUGGUUUAAUUCGAAGCAACGCGAAGAACCUUACCAAAUCUUGACAUCCUUUGACAACUCUAGAGAUAGAGCCUUCCCCUUCGGGGGACAAAGUGACAGGUGGUGCAUGGUUGUCGUCAGCUCGUGUCGUGAGAUGUUGGGGUAAGUCCCGCAACGAGCGCAACCCUUAAGCUUAGUUGCCAUCAUUAAGUUGGGCACUCUAAGUUGACUGCCGGUGACAAACCGGAGGAAGGUGGGGAUGACGUCAAAUCAUCAUGCCCCUUAUGAUUUGGGCUACACACGUGCUACAAUGGACAAUACAAAGGGCAGCGAAACCGCGAGGUCAAGCAAAUCCCAUAAAGUUGUUCUCAGUUCGGAUUGUAGUCUGCAACUCGACUACAUGAAGCUGGAAUCGCUAGUAAUCGUAGAUCAGCAUGCUACGGUGAAUACGUUCCCGGGUCU
rnacentral:rRNA from 1 species